rnacentral:rRNA from 1 species
AUUCCAGCUCCAAUAGCGUAUAUUAAAGUUGUUGCAGUUAAAAAGCUCGUAGUUGAAUUUCUGGUGGGAGUGUACAGUCCGACACUGAGUGUUGGUUCUUGUGUGUCUCCGGCCAUCCCUGGAGAAAACUUAUCUGGCAUUAAGUUGUCGGGUAGGCAAUCUCCAUCUUUUACUGUGAAAAAAUUAGAGUGUUCAAAGCAGGCUUAUGCCGUUGAAUAUAUUAGCAUGGAAUAAUAAGAUAGGACUAUGGUACUAUUUUGUUGGUUUGUGCACCAUGGUAAUGAUUAAUAGGGACAGUUGGGGGUAUUCGUAUUCCAUUGUCAGAGGUGAAAUUCUUGGAUUUAUGGAAGACGAACUACUGCGAAAGCAUUUACCAAGGAUGUUUUCAUUG